UCCAGACUCCUACGGGAGGCAGCAGUGGGGAAUAUUGCACAAUGGGGGGAACCCUGAUGCAGCGACGCCGCGUGGGUGAAGGAGCACCUCGGUGCGUAAAGCCCUCUCGGCAGGGAAGAAACAGACGGUACCUGACUAAGAAGCCCCGGCUAACUACGUGCCAGCAGCCGCGGUAAUACGUAGGGGGCAAGCGUUAUCCGGAUUUACUGGGUGUAAAGGGAGCGUAGACGGUUAUGUAAGUCUGGAGUGAAAGCCCGGGGCCCAACCCCGGGACUGCUUUGGAAACUGUGUAACUGGAGUACAGGAGGGGCAGGCGGAAUUCCUGGUGUAGCGGUGAAAUGCGUAGAUAUCAGGAGGAACACCGGCGGCGAAGGCGGCCUGCUGGACUGAAACUGACGUUGAGGCUCGAAAGCGUGGGGAGCAAACAGGAUUAGAUACCCUAGUA
rnacentral:rRNA from 1 species